rnacentral:rRNA from 1 species
GACGAACGCUGGCGGCGUGCUUAACACAUGCAAGUCGAGCGGUAAGGCCCUUUCGGGGGUACACGAGCGGCGAACGGGUGAGUAACACGUGGGUGACCUGCCCUCAGCUCUGGGAUAAGCCUGGGAAACUGGGUCUAAUACUGGAUAUGACUCCACGGUGCAUGUCGUGGGGUGGAAAGCCUUGUGCGGCUGAGGAUGGGCCCGCGGCCUAUCAGCCUGUUGGUGGGGUGANGGCCUACCAAGGCGACGACGGGUAGCCGGCCUGAGAGGGCGACCGGCCACACUGGGACUGAGACACGGCCCAGACUCCUACGGGAGGCAGCAGUGGGGAAUCUUGCGCAAUGGGCGAAAGCCUGACGCAGCGACGCCGCGUGAGGGAUGACGGCCU